AAGCUGUGAUCACGUGUAUAAAACCAGCGUAAAAUGAAAUCUACCUGGGCUUUCCCCCCCAGUUGGACCUCGCUGGAACUCAGUUCUGGCACCUCUCAGGUGGGCACCACUGGCAUUAGAGAACAAGGGAGGCGUUCACGUUUCACAAAGAAGCCAAUGGUGCAACACAGAAUGGUUGUACAUGAAACUCUUUGUAGCCAGAUUUUUUUUUUUAAAAAAGGUACCACAUAGGAGUAUUUCUGGCACGUACCGCUCCACUGCUGAGGACUACUCUAAUGCUGACCAAGAGAACGGAUUUCUAGCUCUGUGUAGCAAAUGUGCCUUCAGACAAAUAAGGUUAUUCUAGGGUUAUCGUGAACCCACCCAACUUCACUGAAAAUGGAACUUUCCCCUGUGCAGUAUUCAAAUACAGGGGUGGGGAUGUACGCAUGAGUUGGCAGCCUCACAAGCUUGUCUACAGCUGCUACAAUAACCGAAGAACCCGAUUAGGACUUGCAAUCCUACUCCCCACUUAUCUAGGAGUAAACCACACUGAAUUAGAUAGGAUUUACUUCUGAGUAGAAAGGGUUAGGUUCACACUGUUAUGUCUCUAGUUUAGCUUGGAAAGACCACGCAGGCAAUAUUCUAGCCAGUUGCUCAGUUCAUUAAAAGUGAUUCUGUCCAUCCGGAUUCUGGACACACAGUGAGAAUCAAAGGCAGCAGUGAUGCUCAGUUUUCCUUCCACUGUACAGUAUAUCCAGAGAAGAGGGAGGAAAAAAGACUUCUGUAGUUGCUUCCUUUGUCAAUUAUAGCAGUUGUCUAGGAUUGAUAACAUUACCCUAGCUGUUGGGGAAGGUGCAUGUGCAUUCUUAACUGAUUUAAGCGACCACUUUUCUGGGACUUGGUAUGUCCAUCUCUGUUAUUGGAAAAUAAACUCUGCAUCGUAGGGAAUAACGGAAAUCACUUUAGGCUUCUUAAAAGUGCAGUGGGUCAUUCCCUGUGUCCUCACUUUAUGCAGCCUGGUUCUAAGAUAUAUAUAGAUAUAUAUAGAUAUUUGCUUUCGUAGAUUUUCACGGGUACAGGAAUGCAGGUUUUGGUGUCCUCGGGUGUCUUCCCGUGUAAAAGUUGGGGUGUCUAGGCGACGUUUCGACGAGGUCUCACUCGUCAUCUUCAGGCUGGUGCUUUCGGCUUCUUGUUACUCUGUUCCAGUAACAAGAAGCCGAAAGCACCAGCCUGAAGAUGACGAGUGAGACCUCGUCGAAACGUCGCCUAGACACCCCAACUUUUACACGGGAAGACACCCGAGGACACCAAAACCUGCAUAUAUAUAGAUAUAUAUAGAUAUAUAUAACCCCACAACAUUAUUGCUAUGGGGUGGUUGGAAAUCAUUCUGUCGAAAGCCACCACAUUUUAUGUUGCCGUUUUGGAUAAAUUCAAACGAGAAGACUAGAAACUCUUACGAAAAUAUUUUAUUGUCUCAGUGUUGAUCUACUAUUAUUAUGCAAAGACUCGCCUUAUAAAAGCCAGAAAAGCCAACCGCUGUUACAGAAAUUUUAAAAAAAACAACAGUGGACAAUACAAAUUAUGGACAAUACAAAUUCCUGCAGCAAUGAUGAUUAGGCGCUUUGAUAUUAUCAGGACAGAAACAGAGGUUAUUUCCAUACCAGAGCCCUUUAGCACUGCUAAGGCACUGCAAAAAUGGAGCCAUCUUUACCAUCCAGCACGGAGCUAAGCAAAUGUAUAAGCUGGCAAGAAAGGGAAUGUCCCCCUCUCUCGGAAAUUCUGGUAUGAAUUGGAAAAAGCAUCUUCCAGGAAUUUGCAGUUAUCAUAACAACCACUCAAGUUUCCCUAUGAAUCCACCUGGGUAGUUACACAAACAACAAUAUGUUGGCCAUGCAAUGCUUGUCUGCUAAGGGCCAUGGUUCACAUUAUGACUUCAGCAGAUUAUGCUAUGCCAAUGUCUAAAAAGAAAAGAAAAGAAAUGUAUUGUCUAAAUGGUAAAUGAGGCACACAAUCAGCUUCAGAACAAGAUCCAAGAACUGGACCCUAUACUGGAGUUGGUUUCAUGUGUCCUUUUUUUUGGAAAUUUUAACUUGAAAGGCCACAGAGGAGCACUGUUGUGUGGAACAGUAACUAAUACCUCAGUUGCAGCACUUGACAGAUAGAUAGAUAACAUAUGGAGCGACUUAUUCUGGAAACAGGGAAACAGGUGUCUAGACAAGGGUAUUCUUUCACAGUCAGGCAAUAAGGCAGUCUGGAACCAUCUAAAAUAAACCCCAAUUUACACACGACUGUAUCAAAUAUGCUUACUGGAUGCACAGCCACAUAUACUACUCACUUAAACACUAAUGAAUACUAAACUUUCAAAACAAAGUUCAAAACUUCGGAUUGGCACAGCAUUGUACUCUGAAACUAGAUGAGGGGCCAUCAAUCUUUUUGGAUCAGUGGGCUGUGGGCGCCUGUCAAAAAAUGGCUCCCACUCGACAUGGCCACUGUGGGAGGCAUGACAUAAUACAACAUGAGGCAGUGCGGUCAUGGCAAAGUUUCCCCCAUAAUUCUACUUCCAUAUUGGAAAAUGUGUAGCCUGGCUUUAUUUAUUUAUUAAAUUUAUAUACCUGAGGAUCGCAGGGCCGUUUACAAUGUAAAAACACAAAAAUGCGUACCAUUGAUUGUAACAAACAAAAACAACCACCCCCUCACAGUUCAAAAGGCUGUAGAUUUAAUUAGCCAAAGGCCUGGGAGAAGAGAAAGGCUUUUGCCAGCACCUAGAGAUAUGUAACGAAGGUGCCAGGCGAGCCUCCCUGGGGAGGGCAUUCCACAAGCAGGGAGCCACCACAGAAAAGGCCCGUCCUCGUGUUGCUGCCCUCCAGACGUCUUGAGGAUGAGGAACACAAAGAAGGACCUCAGAUGAUGAUCGCAAAUGAUGGGUUGGCUCAUAUGAUGAAUUUCUGCCUGCCAUACAGCUGUUAAAGGCGCAAGAACUCUGUUUUCACCCAAUGCCAACCCUAAACCAAAUCAACACAAGAUAAUAUCACCAAGGCAACUAUCCGUAAACAAGCAAUAAACAUCCAUAAAAAUGGCGAAAGUAGUUUCUUUCCCCAAUCAGUUUUCUCUUAAACAAGAGCAAACACAGUAGAUGGACUCUUCAUUACUGUGUUUGCAAUUGUUCAAGAUAAAAUCUAUUUUGGAAAGAGAAGAAAUGAGCACUGAACCACUGACAUAUUACAAGUGAACUCUUUAUUUACGGCGAUUGCUAUUGUUUCAGAUAAAACUGAUUUGGGAAAGAAACUAUUUUCGCCAUUUUUAUGGACCUUUAUUGUUUGUUUACAGAUGCCUUGGUGAUAUUAUAUUGCAUCAAUUGCAGUAGUCAUUGUAUCACCACCCUGUUCAUUGCUUUAUUGUUAAACCCUAAACCCAUUAAAUAUUGAGCUACUUUUGCGUAGACAUGGAUACCACUGUAGUGUAAGUUAACGAUACAGUGAAUUCCUAAGGAGUGUCUGCUCUUUUGCUCCUGCAUAGCAAGUGACACAAAAAGUUUUCACUUUCACAUUUUGGGGCGAGGGGGAUCCUUUAACAUCCACCCACAUUUAUUCGGUGGUGAUAUUUGCAGAAAAUAACUUCUAGGGACUGAUCUCAGACAAAUCCACCACAAAAAUGAUGAAUCCUAGUUGCUCAUGAAAACAGGAGGGAAAAUGGCAGAGAUGCUAAGAACGAGAAAAUAAAGACAUAAGCAGGAAAAGUACAUCAAAGCAGAGGAGGAAACAGCAGCUUUUUAGGACUCCGGAGAUUCCUAUAACCUGGUAUCCAAACAACUCAUUAUCACAGCUCUGACUUCACUCAGUGGAAGUGAGGCAGGCUCAUUUCACAGAAGGGGGACCAUCACAUUUUGCUUCAUGAGUUUUGUUCUAGGAGGGCUACAGACUUAUUUUUUUAAAAAAAAAACAAGAGCUUGGAGUCUGGGGUGCCAAUGAAAGCUAUUCCAAGGGCAAUAGUUUCUACGUUCUGCCCGGACACUGAGGUCCAGCGCCGAGGGCCUUCUGGCGGUUC
ensembl:lncRNA